UCUAUGGCAGGUGCUGCUUUGAGAGAGUCUUACUGUCCAUAGUGGUCAGUAUGACUCUCUCAAAGCAGCACCUGCCAUAGG